rnacentral:tRNA from 1 species
UCGGAUAUGGUGUAAUGGUUAACAUUACCGCCUCUCAGCGCUCCCUAUCUGGGUUUCGCGGUAGCUCGGGGUUCGAUUCCCCGUAUCCGAA